ensembl:lncRNA
GAGAGAGAGAGAGAGAGAGAGACCAACAACAGCCUCUGUUGCCUCUGUUGUAUGCAUCCUCACGGAACUCCUAAGAAUGGUUGACGUUUGGAGAUAGAAGACAACAGGCAAAAGUUAGACAAAAGACAACGACAACAGACCAGUCUAAAUAACCUGCCUCAUUCAGGCGCCUACUAAGACAUACUGAAAUAUAACAGCCAGUGGCCAUUUCAUGUUGCAUAAGCUGCUGUAGUGUUUGUUGGUUUUGGUAACAUGUCAAACUGCCGUUUGGACCAAUUUCCAUAUAAACGACUGCUGCUUUGCGAGGAUGAAAAGAUAGAACCCAACCAAGCCCGACGGCAGGAGACCUUUGGGCCGUGACAAUGUGCUGGUCAGUGUGCACGCACCCCUGGCUCCCAGCUGGCUCCGUGGCUGCUUUUCUCACAGUAUGUCUGCUGCGUUGAUAAGUCUAUUACAGAGAAGGCUAGGGACGGGCGGGACUCCUGGGUAUUACAGGCCACGAGUCACAUUUGACCCCCC